rnacentral:tRNA from 1 species
GCGCCCUUAGCUUAAUUGGAUAGAGCCGUUGCCUCCUAAGUGACAGACGUGGGUUCAAAUCCCGCAGGGCGCACCA